CGGGCUGAGGGACGCCGCACGUCCUGGAGAUCAGAGUUGCUUCCCAAGUGUUUCCCAGUGCAACGUCUGGCUUCCAGCGAUUUGCGGGAAUUUGUCUCCUUUCCCUCCCCUUUAGUGAUGCUUUAUGCCGGAAACAGAGGUGUCUCAAGGGCUUGUCUGACACUGUGAUCCACUUUGCAGUACUACGGUUCAAAUGAGAGCCGUGCUUCCCUUCUGGCAUCAGCUCCCCAGGAAGCAAGACGCAUCCGUGAUCUGUAGCCGCUGCACGACCAUCCUGCAGUCCUUCCCAUUGUGGCAGUCCCGACGCUCUGGCACUGCUUGAGUUUGAAGCUCUCUGAGCUGUGGUGCUGGGUGUUAUAACUAUGGGAAUACUAAUACACCUAUUCACGAUAAUGCUUUAAUUGCCUCUACUGGUGGUGUUAGACAAUGAAAUUAGACAAUGGUGAGAGAUUUCCUUUGGAAGUUCAAUUAAACCUCUGUAGAAAUUCUCUUCAGACAAAAUAAAGAUCACAGAAUUGUGGAAGGGACCACUGAAGGCCAUCUAGUCCAACUCUCCUGCAAUGAACAGGGAUACCAAAUUUCUGCCUUUGUAAUUAGCAGUGAUACUGUUUCAUGCACGAUCUCUCUAAAUCAUAUUUGAUUGCUAUGAACUUUUAAAAUUAGUUCUGUUCAUCAGGAAAGGGGUAAAAGAAUCUAGAAAGUAGCUGCAGAAAAGGCUCUGGGGGAGUCUUUCUGGACAGCAAGUUGAAUGUGAGCCAGCAGUGUGCCCUUGCAGCAAAGAAGGCCAAUGAUAUCCUGGGCUGCAUCAGGAAUAUUGCCAGCCAGCUGAGGAAGGUGAUCCUUGGCCUUUGCUCAGCAUUUGUGAGGCUACACCUGGAGUGCUGUGUCCAGUUCUGGUCUCCCCAGUAUGAGGAACAUUCUGAAGAGAGCUGAGGAUAAUGGAGGUCCUAGAGCAUCUCUGAGCAAAGACUGAAAGAGCUGGGAGUGCUUAGCCUGGAGAGAAGGUGCACAAUCUUCUAAAAGUGCCAGGACAAAAAGCACUGGGCACAAACUGGAAUACAGAAGUUUCCAUCCAAACACCAGGAAGCACUUCUGUGCUGUGCAGGUGACGGAGCACUGGCACAAGCCACCCAGAGAGGCUUUGGAGUCUCCUCCCUGGAGAUCUUCAGAAGCUGUCUGGACAUGCGCCUGGGCAGCCUGCUCUGGGUGUCCUGCUUGAGCAGGAGUUGGACCAGAUGGACCCAGAAGCCCCUACCAACCUCAAACAUUCAGUGCUUCUGUUAUUCUGGGAUGUGAUAAUUUAGUAGAAUCAUAGAAUGGUCUGGAUUAGGGUUGGAAAGGACCUUAAAGAUUAUCCAGUUGCAGUUCACAGCAGGGGGAUUGGGCUACCCAGGGUCCCAUCCAACUUGUCCUUGAACACUUCCAGGGAUGGGGCAUCCACAGCUUUUCUGGUCAGCCUGUGCCAGCAUCUUGCCAUCCUUACAGUAACAGUGUUAUUCCCUAUAUCCAAUCUAAAUCUACCCCUUUUUGUCCCUUGUCCUAUCAUUACUGGCCCUAGUAAAACAAACAAUCAAAUGAAAAACAACACUCUUUCUUCACCUUUCUUGUAGGCCCCUCCAAAUACUGGAAGGCCACAGUCAGGUCUCCCUGGACCCUUCUCUUCUGCAGACUGAACAAGCUCAACUCCCUCAGCCUUUGUAAGAGAGGUUCUCCCAUCCCUAACUACACUCAUGAUCCUUCUCUGGGUUUGCCUUAAUAGAUAUGUCUUUUUUGUUCUGCAGCUCCUGGAGUUGGAUGGGCCAAUCUUUGUAGGUUCAGUCAGUAUGUGGGAACAAGUGAGAAACAGAGGGUUUAAACAAAUUAAUUUCCUUUCAUAAUUCUGGCUGCUGCUAAGUAAUAUUUUUGUACUGAUUCUCGUGUGUUCACCAGUGAAAGGGGCUGGGUUCUGCAGCUCAUUUCCUCAUUGCUUUUUCAGGUUUUCAAAUAUCAAUUCAUAACGUAAAGAAAAAGAUAGAUGCAAAAUGAAUGUGCCUGUGCUUACACAUAUAUUCCACAUUAUUUCAAUAUUACAAUAUUAUAUCCUUUGUUUUUCUAGAACAAGAUACCCUUUCUAGGAAGUUUCAUCUCAAAAAGAUAUAUUCUAAAACAACAUGCUAGAAGAUCUUGUUAUGUGUUCCGUUUGCAUGCACAUAUGCUUCGUUUAAUAAUAAUUAAUUCAGAACAUAGUUCAGGCCGAUGAAAUGCUUUUCUCCUUGAGUCAACCAUUUUUCAUGGCCACUCUUUUUUUUUUUUUAAUGACUGUUGUAAAGCUAGCCUUUAGUGAGUUUAAGUAAAAUAUUUUAUAAUUGGCUUUAUUUGAAAAUCAAUUUUAACUCGACUUACUUAAGCUAAAGUUUGUGGCAGGUCAACAAAGCUAACUUUAUUUAUAUAUUUAAUUAUUUUGCUGGGAGAGCCAAGGAGGUUUUAGAUAUCUAGAGCAGCAAAUGGACACUUAAAUUCUACACAGAUUCAAAAUUGCCUGCUGAUUCUUAGUGAUAAGCAAUCAUAAGCUCUAAUUUCUCUUCUUUUUUCCCUGAUACUCUGCUCCUGUGCUCGCACUCCGACAUUUAGGUCUCCAUACAUAGAAGCACUUGGUUUGUAUAUCUUUGUAGAUUUUGGGCCCUGCUAAAAACAUCAAGGCAGCUGUAGCCAAGCCACCAGGCCCAUCAUGCUGCCUAUGGUAGUGGCCUGGAGAAGGCUUUGACAUCCACUACAAACAUUUUCCAGACCUUUGGCUUCUUUGCAGCUUGGAGGCUCUCUGAUACUUUCACACUUGUUUGUAAAAUGCCCGGAGACCAGAGUUCAGAUUUCACCCAGACCCAAAUCAGUGUUCUAAGGACAAGGUUUACUCAAUCAAAAUCAAAUGGGUUUAUAAAGGAGGGCAGAGGCUAUCUUCUCCAGACUGCCUGAGUACUUGGCUCCAAGGUGAGAACUGUGGGUGUGAAUCCCUGCAGGAAUCCUGGACCUGCAGUGCUUUCAGCAUGGAUCUGCGGGAGUCAGCCACACCUUGGAUCACCUCAGAGAUGGGUCCAAUCUGGGCCUAGAUGAAUUUCUUCUUGGUUGCCUAAAAUGUGACCUCAUUUUGAAAACCUUUCCAAGGCUGUCAGUACAAGGCAAACAAAAUCAUGCCUUGCCCUUGAUUCUGAGAUGGUUGAAUUGCAAGUCAGCUCCAGUGUGGGCCAUUAUCACAGUGCUAAAUUUGAUCUGCUAAGUCCUGCUGGGGUAAAGAGGAUAUUAGGUCAUGCUCAGUCGGCUGACUUGGCUGCACAAUUUCUGGUCAGCAGUACAAGCAGCACAAGAGCAAGGCUGUCUAGCAUAGUCUGAGGUAUCCAAUUCUUCUCUCAUAUGACGUAUGAAUCCUAAAGUGCAUAUUUCAGAGCUCUAGGCCCCCCACAUCUAUGGGAAAUGUGCAGAUAUAGUCACAUACAUGGGUCACCAUUGCCUCAGUAAUCUGCAAAGCAGGUUCCUGUCAAAGCUAAAGUUCAGGGCCAAGAGAGUUGUUACUGCAGUUACUUACACUGGUGGAUGCACCAGAGAUCUAUUUUUUUUUCCUUCCUUCUUUUUCCCCCGUAGUCACCACAUAAUUUCCAUCCAAUCUUCACAAAUCCUAAUGCUCUAUUCAAAUACAUGCUUUGUGUGCCUCUGGUUUCACCACAGUGGAUUGUCGUGUGUGGCAGCACUGCAGACUUGCAUAGUUGAAUGUGUAGAGAAAAAGCUGUAAAGAGAAUAGAAAAAGCAUGAACAACGAUGUCAGUUAGUAGAAUUUAAUUAUAACUUAGAAGCAAAGCUAGUUGACUGAGCUUGUGUUAAAAGGGUUUGGAGAACCAGGUGAUCUAAUAGCUCUUUGAUUUUUCAGGUAAGAAACUAGUAAAGGACGUGAUUCUCUUCAGAGCAUGUGCUCCUCCUCUUAAUUUCAGCUAAUUUUGUAUCUCUGUGACUAUUUCUAUGUAUUUUGCUUGUCUGAAAUCUACUGACAAUAGUAAUUAGGUGAAUACUACUUUUUUUUGUGUUACAAAGAGCAAUACUGAAUCAGAGAGAAGAAACAUCUUGCUAAGGUUCUGAGCUCCAAGGGUAAGUCAGAGACUUCAAGAUUAGCUACUUAUGUGCUAUUUGCAGUUUCAAGUAACCUUUUUUUUCACUCAGAAGGGCAGUUAGGCCACCAUUAGAUUGUUCUAGCUGACUCAAGAUUUGUCUACUUUUUCAAAAUUAUCGAAUCUUAGAAUGAGCGUGAGCACAGCAGUCAAAACUGCAAGCUUUUGGUGUCUCUGCUCAAUAAUGGCACUGAGAUUUUAAACUAAAUAGUUUGACAGCUACAGAGAUUUGUUUUUCAGGUGAAGUGGCUUAACAGGACAGAUGCAAAGGAACUUUGUAGGAUGGAUCAGAGAGUGGUACUUCCAGCACCAAGGCCAUCUGCUGGCUUUGUCACUGUAACACUGUCCAAGGAACAGCUAUUAUUACUACAGAUACAUAGUAUGAAAUAAUCUUUCUUACUGUUUGAAGAAGAUAAGGAGAGAGAGACAGAAGAAAACUAUUAUUUAGGCUUGCUUAAUUUUUGAAGGUACCCUCACCUUUUUGAGCUUCAGCCUUACCCUGUCAAAGAACCUCCCGUCAAAAUUGUAAGUGAGUCAGAAGUCCAGGUAUAUUUAACUAAUCCUUGUAGAAGUCACGUCAUCUGGAGCCAGUUACACAGAAAUAGAAAAUGCCAAAUUUUUCUGUUGACAUAAUGAAAACAUACAUGUUGCCUGUCUUGUUUCUCUUCCAGCAUCCUAGAGCUCGAAGACAGCAAAGCAUGUUUCUGCUGCUUGCAAGAAGAGAAUUAUAAUAAAAUUAGCUCAUAGAUUCUGCCAUUUCACAUGAAGUUCUUUAUAAAUAUUCAUCUAAAUGACCCAUUCUUGCUAAUUAAGUAGUUGUCUGUAUACAGAGACUGGUACUUCAUGGUAUGCAAUGAGUGUUAAUCUCUUCCCAGAAGUUAAGUACAAGGUGCUUUGAUGGUCCACAGUGUUGAAUGUACUAGGAGCUUCAUUCAGAUACAUAACUUGUCCUGCUUAGAAUUCAGAGUAAGAUCAAAUGAUAGAGAUCAACCUCAGUAAACGUAGAAACGGCAUUAAAAAGCUAUGGUGUUCCUCCUCGUAUCCACCAUGCUGUGUUUUGUGAAAGACUGGACUGAAAUUCAAUUUACCUGUUGAUGUUUACACCAGCCGCUGUUUUGAGAAUUUCAGCAUUCAUUUCAUCAAGCAAGUAAAUAUUUACUACUCUGUUUCUCCCAAAGCAGCAAUGGUUAUUAAAUGAUAACAAAAGAAAUUGUGGUAUUUGUGCAGAAAUGAAUAAAUCUCCAAUUUUUCUCCCAGGACUCACCUGACUAGGCAGAAAAAGUGAUUAAAUGUGCAUUUAAGCAUAUUUACAUGGAAGAACAUCUUUGAGAAGCCUACUCUGUGGUAGUUAAGAACCACAGCUGUUGAUUGCAGUGCCUAUCUUGUUCUAUUACAGCUGCUAUUUCUGUGGACAAAAAGGUGAGUGGAGGUUAUAACUUUUAGUUUCCAUUAGUACAUGUAAAAGAGACCAAUGUGAAAUCUUUUGUUCCUUUUGUUUAUAUAAGGGUUUGCUCACUUUCAGUGUGCUGUACCAGAGAAAGUCCACAGAGAACAGCAAUACUCAGCAGGUGCCAAUAAGGACAGAAUCGGAGAGCUAAUUUAAUCUGCUUCUCAGGUUGUUGAAGGUAGCAACUGGAAUUCCACUAAUUAUCUCCUUCCCAUCUUAGCUUAUAAAGUAAAUGCACCUUAUGGAAUAAGUAGAAAGUAUUCAUUAUUUCCAACAGAUGAAAAUUAUGUUUUGUCCUGAACGAUUGUUAGGAGACCUUGAACAUGCAAAGUUACCACUGAGAAGUCUAUAUAUGGGAGAUGAUAACAUGGAGCAUAUUCAUUUUGCUAUAGUUAUGUGUUGAGAUACAAACCUUAGUUUUAGGGGAUUCCCGUUCACUCUUCUUGUAAAUAUAUAUUUUUUUUUAAUCACAUUUAGUUAUUGUAACCACCUUUGGUUUCAAUCAGAUUGUUUCAAAGAGACUGCUACAUGUAAUAACUGAUAUUAUUUCAUGGUGGAAUAAUCUGUCCUCCAGGAAUGUAAAAGAUGUGGAAACGCUUUGAUAAAACAUAAUGCCAGUUGAAGCCAAUAUUUCUCUUCUUAUGAGUGGUGAAUACUAGAAAAACGACAAACACUACUGGCCUUAUCUGGAUCACCACACUGCAGAUCUAAAUCACAUAUACAGUGCCCUCCAGUUGUGUUAGGUAUGCAGGAAUGCAGAGCCUCUUAGCAGUGGUUAACGUCCUUCCUUUGGGAAAGGGCUCCCUCAAGAAUUCUCUCAAAGUCUGGCACAUACAUUCCUGGGCAGUUCUUCUGUACUCACCAUGUCUGUUGGUCUCUUGAUACCAAUCCAUGGUUUUAGGUUGUUUGUCCAACUGGUUCUGCAUUUGCAUAAUGUUUUCACCACUGCCCAGGAUGGUUUGUACCACUGUGAAAACGUGGAAUAAUCCUCAGAAUUGACUUAAUAUAACAGGCAUCUCACGUUCACAGCCUUGUUGUAAUGUUGCACAAUCAAUACACAAUGUAAUUUAUUUUUAGCUGGUACAAAUAAUAUAAUAGGAGGCAUCACUCUUGAUUGUUGUUAUUAUUUUUUAAUUUAAUUUCCCACAGAAAGAGUAUAUAUAAAAAAAAGUCUACUAGGACAAAUAGAAAAAGGGGCCUAGUUCUCCAAAUUAUUCCCUUAAAGUACUCUGUUACUACCUCCCAUUUUGGCUGUAAUUAGUUUUAGAUGAAGCCAAUAGCCACAGAAAUACCACAAAUUAUUUAAUUGAUGACAUUUUUUUUCACUGGCUGAUGUUAAUUGACUAUCAAAAGAAUAAAUUUAUGGAAUCCUCAGAGGAAACGUAUCUGUUUAAUUUCAGUUUUCUUAUUUCUCUUAGAAAAUAUAUGAUAUCUUAUAGGAUCAGCAGAACGUGGACUUCCUGUGAUACUCUUUUCUCAUACUUACUUCAGAGAUAGUCAUUAAAAGUGAAAUAACUUCUGAUGUGAUGUACUCCAUUACAUCCUGGAUAUUGCUGCUGGUGAGUGGAUGACUUACAGGAUUAUUAACAGAGUCAAUCUAUUGAUGAUCCAAGCAGACAUUUUUAUUUGCUAACAAAAUGCACUAAGGGAAAGAACUAUGAGAAAACUGGAGGAAUUUGCCUAGUGGCUAACAGGACUUGAGUAUACACCUUGAACUUUUUUUAUAGAAAUAGUGCAAAGAAAAAAAACAACCUAGAGUCGUUCAUAUUUGACCAAAAGCUACUUGCAGUUUAUGAUAUUUCUCAUCUGGGAAAUGAAGGUCCAUGCAAUCCACCAUCCCCUCAUCUCAGAGAAAUGAUCCAGGAAUCUUCAAAUAUUUGAAGAGCAAACCAUGGGAAUCAUGAUUUCCUCCCUUGCUGAAACCAACAGCCUAAUAAUGAAGCUCUUCAUGAGACUGUGAAGCCAGCACCAGCAACAAUGAGUCUUCAUUAUUCCUGGAGAAGACUGGGGUGUUUGAUAUGCAUGAAGCUUUGUGCAGACAGCUACAACUAUAAACUGCCAUUUGUUACUGUCAAACAAAUAAGUGUUACAACUAUUUAGAAGUGUUGUUCUUCUCUAGCAAGGGAUUUAUACUUGAAAAAUAAAACAAAACUAAUUAGUA